GAUGAACGCUGGCGGCGUGCCUAAUACAUGCAAGUCGAGCGAACGGACGAGAAGCUUGCUUCUCUGAUGUUAGCGGCGGACGGGUGAGUAACACGUGGAUAACCUACCUAUAAGACUGGGAUAACUUCGGGAAACCGGAGCUAAUACCGGAUAAUAUUUUGAACCGCAUGGUUCAAAAGUGAAAGGCGGUCUUGCUGUCACUUAUAGAUGGAUCCGCGCUGCAUUAGCUAGUUGGUAAGGUAACGGCUUACCAAGGCAACGAUGCAUAGCCGACCUGAGAGGGUGAUCGGCCACACUGGAACUGAGACACGGUCCAGACUCCUACGGGAGGCAGCAGUAGGGAAUCUUCCGCAAUGGGCGAAAGCCUGACGGAGCAACGCCGCGUGAGUGAUGAAGGUCUUCGGAUCGUAAAACUCUGUUAUUAGGGAAGAACAUAUGUGUAAGUAACUGUGCACAUCUUGGCGGUACCUAAUCAGAAAGCCACGGCUAACUACGUG
rnacentral:rRNA from 1 species